rnacentral:lncRNA from 1 species
UGCGAUUAUGAUGUGAUAGUCAUUCUCAUCAUUGUUACCUAAGACAUUAGCCCCGGCAACCACAGAGAGAUAUUUUCCAGCUGGUUUUGAGGAAGUGAGCUGCCAUGUACUAGGCCACGUGGCAAGGGCCUGGUUGGGGACCUCCAGGGGUUGAGAGCAUCCUCUGGACAACAUGGAAAAAGAAAAUGAAAAUGGUGACCUCAGCCCUAUAGCUAGAAGGAAUUGAAUCCUGUCAACAACGAUCAACAGGCUAUUGGGUUUGGAGUGAAUUCUCAGAAACAUCACUACUGACAUAACUCCAUAAAGAAUUCAUAAUUUCUACUCACAUGUUUUACCCACAUCAAUAACAGAAUCUCAGGAAAACCAAAGUGGAGUUUACAAUGUUCAUUUUGACACUGUGCAUUAGACUUCUCGACUUCAAGCUACAAAAACCAGCACAGAACCUGGAAAAAUUUUACCUCCUGGCAUUUUUGUUUCUCUACCCUGAUGCUUGUUGUUGAGUUUUACCCAUGCUUUGACCAUCAGCAAAUUGAAGACUCAUCACUCACUGCAGAUGUUACUUUAAGACAUUCUGGAGCAGCGUCAUGUGCAGUCAUGUGAAAGUAUAUUCCAAACCCAGAACCUGAGCACAGAUUGGGACUGAGAAACACUUGUCUAGAUUGUCAGGCAAUCUGUAACAUCAGCAGUGGAUGGAAAGAAGGAGAAAGAUGAGUUUUAUGGACGCUAACCCAUCUAUAUGGCUUUGGAAAAUAAAGUACUGCUGUUUUUUUUUGUAAAGGAUUUUUAUUUUUUAUCUUUACAUACAUCUCCCAUUAAAAGGUUAAGACAUUAG